ACAGUUCGGUCUCUAUCUGCCGUGGGCGUAGGAGGCUUGAGGGAAUCUUUCCUUAGUACGAGAGGACCGGGAAGGACGGCCCGCUGGUGUACCGGUGGUCCCGCCAGGGGCGUAGCCGGGUAGCCAUGGCCGGUCGGGAUAAGCGCUGAAAGCAUCUAAGCGCGAAGCCCACCCCAAGACUAGGCCUCCCUUUCCAAUUUGGAAGUAAGGCCGCAGGUAGACCACCUGUUUAGAGGACGGAGGUGUACGGCGGGCAACCGCUUUAGCUGACCGUUCCUCAUCGGCCGAGGCCUUCUCCACUCC
rnacentral:rRNA from 1 species